rnacentral:rRNA from 1 species
UGGGGAAUAUUGGACAAUGGGCGAAAGCCUGAUCCAGCCAUGCCGCGUGUGUGAAGAAGGUCUUCGGAUUGUAAAGCACUUUAAGUUGGGAGGAAGGGCAGUAAGCGAAUACCUUGCUGUUUUGACGUUACCGACAGAAUAAGCACCGGCUAACUCUGUGCCAGCAGCCGCGGUAAUACAGAGGGUGCAAGCGUUAAUCGGAAUUACUGGGCGUAAAGCGCGCGUAGGUGGUUCGUUAAGUUGAAUGUGAAAGCCCCGGGCUCAACCUGGGAACUGCAUCCAAAACUGGCUAGCUGGAGUAGAGCAGAGGAUGGUGGAAUUUCCUGUGUAGCGGUGAAAUGCGUAGAUAUAGGAAGGAACACCAGUUGCGAAGGCGACCACCUGGGCUCAUACUGACACUGAGGUGCGAAAGCGUAGGGAGCAAACAGG